rnacentral:misc_RNA from 1 species
AGCAGCCGCGGUAAUUCCAGCUCCAGUAGCGUAUAUUAAAGUUGUUGCAGUUAAAAGCUCGUAGUUGAAUUUCGGGAUUGACACAUCGGUCGUGCCUUAAGGGGUAUGAACUGGUGUAGUCAAUUUCUCACCUUCUGGAGAACCGCGAUGCCCUUAAUUGGGUGUCGCGGGGAACCAGGACCUUUACUUUGAGAAAAUUAGAGUGUUUAAAGCAGGCAUUUUGCUUGAAUACAUUAGCAUGGAAUAAUAAAAUAGGACGGCAUGAUUCUAUUUUGUUGGUUUCUAGGAUCACCGUAAUGAUUAAUAGGGAUAGUCGGGGGCAUUAGUAUUCAAUUGUCAGAGGUGAGAUUCUUGGAUUUAUUGAAGACUAACUACUGCGAAAGCAUUUGCCAAGGAUGUUUUCAUUAAUCAAGAACGAAAGUUAGGGGAUCGAAGACGAUCAGAUACCGUCGUAGUCUUAACCAUAAACUAUGCCGACUAGGAAUCAGACGAUGUUUAAUUUUUAAUUGACUUCGUUUGG